GACGAACGCUGGCGGCGCGCUUAACACAUGCAAGUCGAGCGAAGCGGCGGACGGGUGAGUAACACGUGAGUAACCUGCCUUAGACAUUGGGAUAGCCUCGGGAAACCGGGAUUAAUACCAAAUGGUCUAAGAUGGACUCGCGUCCCAUUAGCUAGUGGGUGAGGUAACGGCCCACCAAGGCGACGAUGGGUAGCCGGCCUGAGAGGGUAAACGGCAACAUUGGGACUGAGAUACGGCCCAAAAUCUACGGGAGGCAGCAGUGGGGAAUAUUGCACAAUGGGGGAAACACUGAUGCAGCAACGCCGCGUGCGGGAUGACGGCCUUCGGGUUGUAAACCGCUUUCAGCCAUGACGCGGUAGUGGCAGAAGAAGCACCGGCUAACUACGUGCCAGCAGCCGCGGUAAUAC
rnacentral:rRNA from 1 species